rnacentral:lncRNA from 1 species
AAAUCAUCCAUCUAUGGAUGAAUUCAUCACUGUACCAUUUCGUUGCACACUGCAGCCAUGAUACGAGAACGUGCCUAAGUUCCUUCAAUCCAUCGUGCAAGAACACAGAGGACUUCCCACUAACGAAAAAAGAGUUGAAAUCAGCUGCAGGAAUAAACAUUAAAUAAAUUUAAAAUAUGUCAUUUACGAGAUUCAGCUUGCUGUAGAUAAGCAGGUAAUACAACAGAUAUGUGUGAUAAAAUCAUACAAGCGAAUAUGGACCAUCUCGGUGGAAUUAUAACUAAAACCUCUUCCUCCUUUGGAAGAAAUUGUUGCUCAAACCAGCGGCACAUGCUACGCACAUAUAUAAGAAAAUACGUGUGAACCGGCCAUAACUAAUGUAAGCAGUGAACUAUGGUUUAAUUUAAGAAUGUACAUAUAUGUAACUAAAUGAAUUUGUAAAUAAAGGAAAAAUGUAAGAUCCGUCUGUAUGAAUUAUUUUUCCUGUAUAAAAUCACCUGAAAACCAAUGUAAAUAUACAAUCUUUAUACAUUCAACUGAAGGGAACAUCAUUGUCACAAGGACUUUGUAGUAUCUCAUUAAUCCUGCAAUGAUACUGAAAUCGAGAAGUGAAUGUACAUAUAUGUAACUAAAUGAAUUUGUAAAUAAAGGAAAAAUGUAAGAUCCGUCUGUAUGAAUUAUUUUUCCUGUAUAAAAUCACCUGAAAACCAAUGUAAAUAUACAAUCUUUAUACAUUCAACUGAAGGGAACAUCAUUGUCACAAGGACUUUGUAGUAUCUCAUUAAUCCUGCAAUGAUACUGAAAUCGAGAAGUGAAUGUACAUAUAUGUAACUAAAUGAAUUUGUAAAUAAAGGAAAAAUGUAAGAUCCGUCUGUAUGAAUUAUUUUUCCUGUAUAAAAUCACCUGAAAACCAAUGUAAAUAUACAAUCUUUAUACAUUCAACUGAAGGGAACAUCAUUGUCACAAGGACUUUGUAGUAUCUCAUUAAUCCUGCAAUGAUACUGAAAUCGAGAAGUGAAUGUACAUAUAUGUAACUAAAUGAAUUUGUAAAUAAAGGAAAAAUGUAAGAUCCGUCUGUAUGAAUUAUUUUUCCUGUAUAAAAUCACCUGAAAACCAAUGUAAAUAUACAAUCUUUAUACAUUCAACUGAAGGGAACAUCAUUGUCACAAGGACUUUGUAGUAUCUCAUUAAUCCUG